rnacentral:rRNA from 1 species
AUCAAAGUGUUAAAAUAAAAUACAUAUAUAUAAUACUUAUUAAAGUUAUAUUAAAGACAAUAUUUUAAGUAAAAAUUAUGAAACAAUUAAAUUAUUGAUAGUUUAAAGUAAUGAAAAUGAAAUAGAUCAAAAAAUAUAUAAGUAAAAUUUAAUUUGUACCUUUUGUAUCAGGGUUAAUUAAUUUAAUUUAAAUAUCUUAAUUGUCUCGAAAAUAAAUGAUCUAAAUAUUAUAUUACUGUUCUUGUAGAAUAAAGAAUGUAAAUAUAUAUUUAGAAAUUAUAUGUUUUACGUAUUUAUUUAUAUCUAGUUUUCUUCUAAAUAAAUUUAAUUUAUAUACAAUAAAAAUUGUAUAAUACAAUCAUAUAAAUUAUAUUAUACUUAUUGUAUAAAAAACUCACGGGAUAAACUGUGAGUUUAAUUAUUUAAUACAAUAUUUUUUAAAUAGACCUAUGGGCUUAGUAUUAGCUAUUAGAACAGAAAAUUUUACAAUUCAUCUUAAUUGUAAAUUAAAGAUUUUUUAGUAAAUUAAUUGAUUAUAAGUAAUUUUUAGAAGAAAACAAUUUUUAAUAAAAACAAAUUGAUUAAAAUGAUUAAAUUAGUAAUAUAAUUGAAUUUAUGUAUAGAGUAACAAUAUCAACAAAUAUAAUAUAUAUAAUUAAGGAACUAGGCAAAAUAGGCAUAUUCACCUGUUUAUCAAAAACAUGUCUUAUUGAUAAUAAUUUUAAGUCAAUCUGCCCAAUGAAUUAGAUUUUUAAUGGCUGCAGUAUAACUGACUGUACAAAGGUAGCAUAAUAAAUUGAUUUUUAAAUGAAAUCUGGAAUGAAAGGAUUAAUGAAAUAUGUACUGUCUCAUUUAUAUAAUAUGAAUUUAAAAUUUUAAUAAAAAUGUUAAAAUUUUUUUAUGGGACGAUAAGACCCUAUAGAAUUUUAUAUUAACUUUACCUAGCGGUUAAUGCUAGUUUUUUGUUAAUAUUUGGUUGGGAGGAUUAUUAAAUUUAACAAACUUUAUAUCAUUAUAAACUUUGAUUUAAGAAAAUAUAAUGACCUUCAAUUUGAAAUAGUUAGAGUAAAUUACCUUAGGGAUAACAGCGUAAUAUUUUUUUAUAGACCUUAUAGAAAAAAAUGGUUGCGACCUCGAUGUUGAAUUAAGAUAAAUUUUAAAUGCAGGAGUUUAAUAAUUAAGUCUGUUCGACUUUUAAAAUCUUACAUGAUUUGAGUUCAAAUCGACGUAAGUCAGAUUGGUUUCUAUCUAUAAAAAUAUUUAAAUUGUUUGUACGAAAGGACUACAAUUUACAAAAUAUUUGUUUAGUUAUAAUAAAUAAUAUAGUAUUAUGAUAAAAAUAAUCAA